UCAGUUAAGAGCAGCUACCUCAGUCGUGGGUCAAGACGCAGCCUCUCCAAGGUGCGCACACCUGCUUUCUCUGAAGGGUCCAGUGGAUGCCUCCACUCAAACCUGGACGUAUCAGUCAGCACUAUCUGCAAGCACUGCACAACAAGUCAGCGAGCUGACAGGGCAGGAUGACAGCAGAGAUGCUUCUUCAAGCUGCGACAAUCAACCAAGAAAACUCCAAAAAUACUGCUGUUUUUUAGCAAAAGAAGCUGUUACAGCAACAUGUAGUAAAGCACAACUGUUACCUCAUUAUUUCCUGGAUCUUUAAAUCAGAAUUCCAGUUCUUUUCAAUCCCAGGUCAUGUUUCUGUGCUGCUUAUGAGGAACACUCCUGCUCUUUGCCAGCUCCUGAACAGAGAACUUUCUCCACCACUUUGCACAGUGGCACCUGGCACACAAAGUGUACCAAGAUUUGGGCUCACAAUCGGAGAACAAUGCUUGAGAUCACACCUGCUCUCUAAAGCUCACUGUUAGAGAC